rnacentral:tRNA from 1 species
GGCAAGAUGGCCGAGUGGUCUAAGGCGGGAGACUCAAGAUCUCUUCCACCUAGUGGGCGAGGGUUCGAACCCCUCUCUUGUCA